rnacentral:rRNA from 1 species
GGCCCGCUCAAGCGGUGGAGCAUGUGGUUUAAUUCGAUGCAACGCGAAGAACCUUACCUACUCUUGACAUCCAGAGAAUUUAGCAGAGAUGCUUUAGUGCCUUCGGGAACUCUGAGACAGGUGCUGCAUGGCUGUCGUCAGCUCGUGUUGUGAAAUGUUGGGUUAAGUCCCGCAACGAGCGCAACCCUUAUCCUUUGUUGCCAGCGAUUCGGUCGGGAACUCAAAGGAGACUGCCGGUGAUAAACCGGAGGAAGGUGGGGAUGACGUCAAGUCAUCAUGGCCCUUACGAGUAGGGCUACACACGUGCUACAAUGGCGUAUACAAAGAGAAGCGACCUCGCGAGAGCAAGCGGAACUCAUAAAGUACGUCGUAGUCCGGAUUGGAGUCUGCAACUCGACUCCAUGAAGUCGGAAUCGCUAGUAAUCGUAGAUCAGAAUGCUACGGUGAAUACGUUCCCGGGCCUUGUACACACCGCCCGUCACACCAUGGGAGUGGGUUGCAAAAGAAGUAGGUAGCUUAACCUUCGGGAGGGCGCUUACCACUUUGUGAUUCAUGACUGGGGUGAAGUCGUAA